GAUGAACGCUGGCGGCGUGCCUAAUACAUGCAAGUCGAGCGAACAGACGAGGAGCUUGCUCCUCUGACGUUAGCGGCGGACGGGUGAGUAACACGUGGAUAACCUACCUAUAAGACUGGGAUAACUUCGGGAAACCGGAGCUAAAUACCGGAUAAUAUAUUGAACCGCAUGGUUCAAUAGUGAAAGACGGUUUUGCUGUCACUUAUAGAUGGAUCCGCGCCGCAUUAGCUAGUUGGUAAGGUAACGGCUUACCAAGGCAACGAUGCGUAGCCGACCUGAGAGGGGGGUCGGCCACACGGGAACUGAGACACGGUCCAGACUCCUACGGGAGGCAGCAGUAGGGAAUCUUCCGCAAUGGGCGAAAGCUUGACGGAGCAACGCCGCGUGAGUGAUGAAGGUCUUCGGAUCGUAAAACUCUGUUAUUAGGGAAGAACAAAUGUGUAAGUAACUAUGCACGUCUUGACGGUACCUAAUCAGAAAGCCACGGCUAACUACGUG
rnacentral:rRNA from 1 species